GGGUUGUGAGGUUAAGCGACUAAGCGUACACGGUGGAUGCCCUGGCAGUCAGAGGCGAUGAAGGGCGUGCUAAUCUGCGAUAAGCGCCGGUAAGGUGAUAUGAACCGUUAUAACCGGCGAUACCCGAAUGGGGAAACCCAGUGUGAU
rnacentral:rRNA from 1 species